GGGUGCUCGAGUGGCGAACGGGUGAGUAACACGUGGGUAACCUGCCCUUGACUUUGGGAUAACUUCAGGAAACUGGGGCUAAUACCGGAUAGGAGCUCCUGCUGCAUGGUGGGGGUUGGAAAGUUUCGGCGGUUGGGGAUGGACUCGCGGCUUAUCAGCUUGUUGGUGGGGUAGUGGCUUACCAAGGCUUUGACGGGUAGCCGGCCUGAGAGGGUGACCGGCCACAUUGGGACUGAGAUACGGCCCAG
rnacentral:rRNA from 1 species